UAACCUCUUCCCCGGGGACAGACGUGGUCGCAUCUUUCCAGCUGAGGUCUCUCUCCCCUCUGGGGCUGAGCCAGAUGGUCUUUCCUUUCUCCAGGGCGAUGACUUCCACAAGGAUCCAGGUGCAGCAUUUGUCAUGUUGCAAUAUGUGCAAAAACAGAACUCUUCCCACCGGGUGUGAAAGUGGGAGCUAUGUUUGGAGGAGCCGUGGAGCAGAGCCAGCAGGAUGGAGCAUGCCAUGAGGGAGAAGAUGCUGGAAGCCAUGGGUCAGGGGCACUGGGUAUGGGAUCAAGAAGACAAAUGACUGGCUACUGCUAACUCUUGUGGCCCACAAUAAAGCAGGCUUGAUGGAUAUUAAAGCUGA